CUGCAGCUCUCUGACUCUGUGUGUUUGCAUACAUGUGUCCUCCUCUCUGCUUCCAGCCAUAAGAGGCUGCUGUCCAUCAGUGGCUGUCCAGGCCUUUCACACACACAUGAUGAUGUCACUGACUCUGCUGCUGGCCACCCUGGGGCUCCUUGUUCAGGCCUCAUCAGGAGAAAUCCUCCUGACUCAGUCUCCUGGAUCUCAGUCUGCUGUUCCAGGACAGACUGUCUCCAUCAGCUGUAAAACCAGUUCAGCUGUUGAUAAUGACCUCCACUGGUACCUUCAGAAACCUGGAGAAGCUCCUAAACUGCUGAUGUAUAGAGUUUUAAACCGUCAGUCUGGAGUUUCAGAUCGUUUCAGUGGAAGUGGAUAUGAUAUUGACUUCAAUCUUACCAUCAGUUGUGUUCAGGCUGAAGAUUCAGGAGUUUACUACUGUCAGCAUGAUGAGGAGUACCCGUUCACACAGUGAAAAAGCGUCGUACAAAAACCUCCCUCAGCUGCAGAGGAACUGAUCUGAAUCAACAGCUGCACAGAAACUAAAAGUGUUUCUAAAGACACAAAUGUAGUCACUAAUAAUUCACUUUGAACAUCUUACUGAUCAAUAAGUUGCAUUUAACUCAAAAAGUUAAACAUUUAAGUCUUUUAUUGGAUUCAAACAAUCAACUUCACGUCACAAACAAACCUGUGAAGAAUGAUUUUAUUUCUUCAUUUAUGAAAACACAUGAACACUAAAACUGUAAAUAUUGUUUAUUCACAGAGUUUGUGAAUCAGUGAUGUUUUAAAUACAAACAAGUUUAAUUAGUUUCAGUCUGAAGCAGUUUGUAAUCAGUUUGUAGGUUUAAAUCUGCACAUCAUUUUAUUUCACUCUAUGCUGACGAUAUUCUGAUUAUUAUUCCAGAUGUGUGAAAUACUUUUCAGACCUCAGAAGUUUUAUUUAUAUGAUGAUGUUUGUUCAUGUCUUUAGUGACAACAAAUACAAUUAUUGUUGU